rnacentral:rRNA from 1 species
GACGAACCGUCCUAACGUUGUUCGGAAUCACUGGGCUUAAAGGGCGCGUAGGCGGGUUCCCAAGUCGGUGGUGAAAUCUUUCGGCCCAACCGGAAAACAGCCGCCGAUACUGGGAGUCUUGAGGGAGGUAGGGGUCGAUGGAACUUCCGGUGGAGCGGUGAAAUGCGUAGAUAUCGGAAGGAACGCCGGUGGCGAAGGCGGGUUGCUGGGCUGACACUGACGCUGAUGCGCGAAAGCCAGGGGAGCGAACGGG